rnacentral:rRNA from 1 species
UCCUGCCCUAUGAUAAAUUAAAUGGCUGCAGUAUUCUGACUGUGCAAAGGUAGCAUAAUAAUUAGUCUUUUAAUUGAAGGCUUGUAUGAAUGGUUUAAUGAGAAAUUUAUUUUAUUAUUAAUAUUUUUAUAAUUUAAUUUUUAUGUAAAAAAGCUUAAUUAAUUUUUUGGGACGAUAAGACCCUAUAGAACUUUAUUAUUAUUAUUUUAUUUAUUUAUUUUAGUUUAGUUUUUUAUAGAUUAAAUUUAAUUUUUUUGUUGGGGUGACAAAUAAAUUUAGACUUUAUUUUUUAUUUUCAUUUAUAUAUGUAUUUUUGAUCCAUUUAUGAUUACAAGAUUAAGUUACCUUAGGGAUAACAGCGUAAUUUUAAUGGGGAGUUCAUAUUUAUAUUAAAGUUUGCGACCUCGAUGUUGAAUUAAGAUAAGAUUGAGGGGUAG